rnacentral:rRNA from 1 species
GAUGAACGCUGGCGGCGUGCCUAAUACAUGCAAGUCGAGCGAACAGACGAGGAGCUUGCUCCUCUGACGUUAGCGGCGGACGGGUGAGUAACACGUGGAUAACCUACCUAUAAGACUGGGAUAACUUCGGGAAACCGGAGCUAAUACCGGAUAAUAUAUUGAACCGCAUGGUUCAAUAGUGAAAGACGGUUUUGCUGGCACUUAUAGAUGGAUCCGCGCCGCAUUAGCUAGUUGGUAAGGUAACGGCUUACCAAGGCAACGAUGCGUAGCCGACCUGAGAGGGUGAUCGGCCACACUGGAACUGAGACACGGUCCAGACUCCUACGGGAGGCAGCAGUAGGGAAUCUUCCGCAAUGGGCGGAAGCCUGACGGAGCAACGCCGCGUGAGUGAUGAAGGUCUUCGGAUCGUAAAACUCUGUUAUUAGGGAAGAACAAAUGUGUAAGUAACUAUGCACGUCUUGACGGUACCUAAUCAGAAAGCCACGGCUAACUACGUG